ensembl:lncRNA
CUGCUUUGACUGAGACAUAAGCUUAUGGAUAUCUGCAGAAGUGUUAGAGGCCAGAAUGUUGUCCAGAGCCAUGGUGACCAUGCUGCAUUCAACGCAACAAAAUGCAGUGCUUUUGCUUCCAGCAUGAAGUGGUCCUGGAGAUUUACUCGUUCCAUUUUUACCACAGCUUGUUUUCUUUUGAUUCCUGUAAUAAGAAAUGUGGGAAUGGUGUUUAUCUCCCGAACAAGACACUGCAAACGCUUUGAAAUCUUCAGCUGAGAUUGAGAAGGUGGAAGCUGCAAUGCAACCAGAGUCCCGUUUCCACGUUUUGAAGUAAAGAGGCAAUCUUACAUCAUGGAUGAAUUUAUUCCUUUACAGAUGAUGAUCUCCCUACUCUGAGCUGCUCUUCCAGUCUGUCACAUGAAAGAGCUGGGACUAAAACUGCUGAGCUGCUGGUACUUCAACAAAUAGAUUGCACUGGUUCUGAAAAUCUGGAAGAACAGAAAGAAGAGAGAGAAAGAAACAAAUGAGGAUGGCAUUUUAUUCCCACCUUUAUGGAAGGCCGGAAAAUUGCAGUCCAUUAGGAGAGAAGCUUUUAUCUGGAGUGGCCCAUUGCGGUCCUAUUCUGGGUUGUUCUGAAGGCUGUAGCAUCACUGAUGCAAUGUACUGCACCAGGACUUCCUUACUGAUGAAACCAACUACUGGCUGCUUGCU